GCCGAUGUAGCUCAGUUGGCCAGAGCACGUGAUUUGUAAUCUCGGGGUCGUGGGUUCGAUUCCCUCCAUCGGCU
rnacentral:tRNA from 2 species